UUUUUUGUUUACCCGCUCGUUAACCAAAUUCCCCAAAUUCCCCCCUAGACCUACCCAAUACUUCCAAAUCUGAAUCAUUAACAAUCAUCCUCCUAAAAUGCACCGAUUUCAAGCAAGUCAAAUUCUCGGCUAUUUCCUUUACCCACGGCGUUACGUACCCUCCCCAAUCUUCCGGUUUGUGAAGCCGUUGAUUUUUUCAACUUGUUAUAAUUUUCCCCCAUCCAAAAACUCAAAUCGGAUAUUCAAAAGAGAAAACAAACGUUUGAUUUGGAGACCAGAAUAAGAAGCAAGAGGCGUUUCCUCAGCAAUUGUUUUCUCCAGAAGUGAAGGAAAAAGGAAUGCAUUCGCCAGCAGAUAAUACAAAUCGGGUCAGGCAUGGGUCGGGUUGAGGAGACAUGGAAGAAGAAGAGAUAAAAGCAAGAAAUGGAAAAGGGAGAUUGGAUGGAGAGAGAAAAUAGAAUGGUGGAAAGCAAAUUUAUGGACUGUAUGAUAGUUUGGGGUCGUGGUACUCAGCUUAAAGAUAUUCCCACUGGGAAACUGGACCUGGGAACAUGCAAAACUUAAAGCUAGAAUGCAGACUUUACAAAGAAACCUGAGACAAGAAAUGUGAUGAAGAUGAUUAUAUUCUCACCUACCAGGACAAAGAAGGAGAAUGGCUGAUUGCAGGCGAUAUUCCAUGACACUGUUGAUUUCAAUUAGAUGAGGCUAACAUCUCCAUCACCGGUGUAUAGAGGUAUCUUCGCCACGUUCCUCGUAGGUUCAAGACAGGUUUCAGGGAAGGUACUGUAGCAGCAGCAAGAAAGAAGGUUGCAGCAGCAAGAAAGAAGGUUGCAGCAGCUUCUGCUUAAAAGGCAAAUUGUAAUGGUAUGAGGUUUUGUUUUGGAUGAAGCCAUGUUUAUGAGGAAACAUUUAGUGAUGAAGAGUGAAAUUCCAUUGGAUGCUUUAGUUGUUAUUUAGUUUCUAUUUGAAUAUAGCUGACUUAUAUUUUGAACAAUUAUUGGAGCUAAUGUUUGACUCUUAA